rnacentral:rRNA from 1 species
GACGAACGCUGGCGGCGUGCCUAAUACAUGCAAGUAGAACGCAGUUGCGAACGGGUGAGUAACGCGUAGGUAACUGCCUCUUAGCGGGGGAUAACUAUUGGAAACGAUAGCUAAUACCGCAUACUGUGAGAUGGACCUCCCUUGUAUUAGCCAGGUGGUGAGGUAAAGGCUCACCAAGGCGAAGAUACAUAGCCGACCGGGGAGGGUGAUCGGCCACCGUGGGACGUAGACACGGCAGAGACACCUACGGGAGGCAGCAGUAAGGAAUCUUAGGCAAGGGACGGAAUGCUGACCGGGCAACGCCGCGUGAGUGAAGAAGGUGUUCGGAUCCGAAAGCUCUGUUGUUAGAAAAACGGUAACGAAUCAGAAAGGGACGGCUAACUACGUGCCAGCAGCCGCGGUAAUAC